rnacentral:rRNA from 1 species
UACAGAGGAUGCAAGCGUUUAAUCGGAAUUACUGGGCGUAAAGCGUGCGCAGGCGGCUUUGCAAGACAGAUGUGAAAUCCCCGGGCUCAACCUGGGAACUGCAUUUGUGACUGCAUGGCUAGAGUACGGUAGAGGGGAUGGAAUUCCGCGUGUAGCAGUGAAAUGCGUAGAUAUGCGGAGGAACACCGAUGGCGAAGGCAAUCCCCUGGACCUGUACUGACGCUCAUGCACGAAAGCGUGGGGAGC